CGAACGGCAGCAUAGAGAGCUUGCUCUCUGAUGGCGAGUGGCGAACGGGUGAGUAAUACAUCGGAACGUGUCCGUUUGUGGGGGACAACCACCCGAAAGGGUGGCUAAUACCGCAUAAGACCUGAGGGUGAAAGCCGGGGACCGCAAGGCCUGGCGCGAACGGAGCGGCCGAUGACUGAUUAGCUGGUUGGCGGGGUAAAGGCCCACCAAGGCGACGAUCAGUAGCUGGUCUGAGAGGACGACCAGCCACACUGGAACUGAGACACGGUCCAGACUCCUACGGGAGGCAGCAGUGGGGAAUUUUGGACAAUGGGGGCAACCCUGAUCCAGCCAUGCCGCGUGCGGGAAGAAGGCCUUCGGGUUGUAAACCGCUUUUGUCAGGGACGAAAAGGUGCGGGUUAAGAGCUAGCACUGAUGACGGUACCUGAAGAAUAAGCACCGGCUAACUACGUGCCAGCAGCCGCGGUAAUACGUAGGGUGCGAGCGUUAAUCGGAAUUACUGGGCGUAAAGCGUGCGCAGGCGGUUGGGUAAGACAGAUGUGAAAUCCCCGGGCUUAACCUGGGAACUGCAUUUGUGACUGUCCGACUGGAGUAUGUCAGAGGGGGGUGGAAUUCCAAGUGUAGCAGUGAAUGCGUAGAUAUUUGG
rnacentral:rRNA from 1 species